rnacentral:rRNA from 1 species
AACAGAGGUCCCAAGCGUUGUUCGGAUUUACUGGGCGUAAAGGGUGUGUAGGCGGGCAUGAAAGUCUGGUGUGAAAUCCCACCGCUCAACGGUGGAAUGGCGCUCGAUACUGCAUGGCUUGAGGACCGGAUGGGAGAGCGGAAUUGCUGGUGUAGCGGUGACAUGCGUAGAUAUCAGGAGGAACGCCAAUAGCGAAGGCAGCUCUCUGGAAGGAUCCUGACGCUGCGACACGAAGGCCAGGGGAGCGAACGGG